rnacentral:rRNA from 1 species
UACGGAGGAUGCGAGCGUUAUCCGGAUUUAUUGGGUUUAAAGGGUGCGCAGGCGGAUUUUUAAGUCAGCGGUGAAAGUUUGUGGCUCAACCAUAAAAUUGCCGUUGAAACUGGAAGACUUGAGUGUGUUUGAGGUAGGCGGAAUGCGUGGUGUAGCGGUGAAAUGCAUAGAUAUCACGCAGAACUCCGAUUGCGAAGGCAGCUUACUAAGCCAUAACUGACACUGAAGCACGAAAGCGUGGGUAUCGAACAGG